AAAUCUUACCGGGUCCGGACACACUGAGGAUUGACAGGCAAUAUAUAGAUCCCUAGCGAUCUAUUGUUAAAUAUGCUAGUCCUUUCAUGAUUAUGUGAUAGGUGGUGCAUGGCCGUUCUUAGUUCGUGGAGUGAUCUGUCUGCUUAAUUGCGUUUCACUAAGGAGCUAUAUUAUUCAUGUAUGUUGUUAGCGCAUUGACCCCUCGUUUGCUGUGUUGUGUUUCAACACACACUCACAUCUGUAGCGUGCGUCUUUGAUUUACGUCUAGCUCAUACGAUUAGCUCCUGAAAGCAACGAACGUGACCGCAACCUCUUGUUGCCUUCAUUUCCUACGUAUCACACACACUUUCACGUGUUGUGUGCAUACUAUACGGAGGCUUUUUAAACUAGAGGGACCGCUGUUAUCUUCUUAAACCAGAGGAAGGUUGCGGCAAUAA
rnacentral:rRNA from 1 species